AUGGAAGCCUCCUUGGACUUACCCGUUCAAUGUGCUCUGGUUGUUCAAGAGAUCAGUCAAUCUGUCCUGGAUGGCUUCUGGCAGGUACUGUGAUGUCUAUCUCUGUUUUGGAUAUAUGCUCAAAUAAAUCAGUUAUGGGAAGAAGCAAAAGAUGGCUGCAGUACAGAGAAGAUCAUCAUCUGCUGAUGUCUGUGAGUCAUCAUUAUAGACAGACCCUCCAGACAACACGUGCAACAAACCUGACUGAUUUAAUUUAUGUUACAGCUGAGUCCCAAACAUUAUGAUGCACUUGGGGAGAGAGACAUGUAUCAAAAAUGUUAAAACUAAAUGUAUAAAAAUGUCCUCAAAUAAAACACAAAGGUGAACAUGUAAGAAGUUUAAUGCGGUUUGGCUGUUUGUUUAAAUGAUGAUGACGUUUUGGGGUCCUGUAAAUACUGUAAAUCUUUUGAGACAGAUCUACCAUGAGCUCCAA